rnacentral:lncRNA from 1 species
UGUGGUAGCAUUUAUGCUAAUGUAUCACAGAAAAUAUUUUCUUCAUUUUAUAUCUACCGUGUCCUUUUCAUUCCAUCGAAAAUCGAUUUAUCCCAUUAGAUUUUCAUCGCUUUGUUUCGCGGUGUUUGCUAAUCAAGACUCCAGUAAGAGGGCUCCUACCACUAUUUUAUAAUUAGCGUACAACCAAUAAGAGUACCAGGGUGUUAUGAUGAGGUUCAAAUGAUUAGUUUGUUUUAUCAACAGAAAAAGGCAGAAACUUAAAAGAACAAACCCAAAGAUAAAAUGAACUUCAAUAUUAUUAUUACGCAAUAAAACUAUAAACCCCUUGAGCUUCCAUCAGUGGAAGAAACCAUCGUAUGAAAUCAAAAUCAACCUGUCUAAGAUACAGAUUCGAGCACUCAGACUAUAAUCACUCAAGAGCACAACAAAAAACCAGCCUUCAAUUACAACUAUUUUUCACUCAAGAAGAACACAAUAAUCCUCAAUAUACAAAUCACACAAGAAACAUAUUACAUUGAGAAAGUGUGAAAGAUCGAAAGACUUACAGAUUUCUAGAGUGAGAAAGAGGCGAGGAACUUCAAGAGUCCGAGAGAGAAAGUUGAAUGGAUAAUUC